AGGCAAGUAGGAAGGGUAGGAGAACCUUCAGACCUGCUCUGUGUGUCCCUGGGAAGGUGUUGGCACAAAUGCUCCUGGAUGUGCAGGAGGAGCAGGGCUAUGGGGAGAGCUGGCUGGGGUCUCCUUUAGCCAGUGGUGCCAGGUCGGUCUGAGGGACUACCCCAGCUGUGUUGGCUUCAAGGGUGUUGGCACAAGUGUGGCUGGUGGCCAUGCACUGGGGAGAUCCCUCAGGGUCUGCUCUUCCAAGUCUUCUCUGUGGAGUUGGAGGGUACAAGUGAUCAGCUCCCCGGGACUAAGCGGGAGGGGAAUGGGCUGCUGGGGACGCUGAGCACCAGCCUGGCCUGCAGGAGCCGGGAGCUGAGGGCUGGUGGCUUUGGGAAUGGCUCUGGAGGACGAGGUGGGCUGGUGUGAGCAGUGCCCAGUCAGGAAGGACAGCUGCACAGCUGGGCUGUGCCAGCAAAGGUGCAGGAGGCACUGUGGGGAAGGGGAGGCUGUGCCUGGGCAUGGUGUGCAGACUGGGGCCGCCAGGUCCGGGCAGGUGUGGGUGCUGUGGGGCGAUGCCAGUGGAGAAGCUGGAGUGAUGGAGGUGUAGAAGAGGCUGAGAGCACAACCUCUGCUCUGCUCAGCCUGGGGAAGAGCAGUCCUGGGGCUUCUGCCACUGCCUGCCUGCAUCAGCCGUGUGAGCACCUGUCUUCCAAGAUGGAUGGGGCACAGAUGUGCAUGAUUGCAAAAUGGGCUUCUUGGGGUGUCCAUGGUGUAGUUGAGCCUUGUGAAGUGUCUGCAGCACCUGUAUUCUGACGUUGCACUCAGGAAAGCUGAAUGCUACUGGCACUGCCCAUGCUCCCAUCCCUCGAGUGUUUCUGUUCCUGUGGAUGCUGUGCAGGCUCAGAGCAGCAACAUCUCCAGGGGCUUUUAAGGUGCUGGCAGUGGGUGCUGGUGCUUGGGCAUGUGAGCAGCCAGAAAUGUGGGGAAAAUCCCCACAUGUUCAUGCACAGAGCCAAAAGCAAACACCACUUAGUUUUUAUGUUGUGAAAAAGCUUUAGAAAAUUGCCAAAUUGAAUAUUUGGGAAAAUAAAACCCAAUUGUUAUACUAGCAAAAACUCCAAAAUGGCAAUGAAACCAGCAAUUGGGAAAAUCUGUGGUGAAAUGUUUGCAGUUUGGGCGUGGGCGUUGCAAUCGGUUAUCCAGCGUGGGUCGGCCAGGUUAGGUUGCUUCGUGUGGGUUAUUCCAAAUGAGCUGUUUGCUGAGCAUUACGGCGGGUGGAUCUGGUGUUUGUAUCUCUGUGUGUUUGCCGUGCAUCCAUCUCCCGCCUCGCAGAGUGUCCUUUCCGCGCUCCCGGCUGUGACCCGCGCUCUGUCCCCGGGCCGGGCCGGGCCGGGCGGCGCCACCGUCCGCUCAGGGGCUGCUCUCGCUCCCUGCUGCCACCCGAACUGCCGAACUGCCGGUAAACAGCUGAGCCCGCUCCGGUAAAGGCUCCGCUGCCGUCCCGCGGGGCCGCGGCGGGAGCUGCUCCCGGUAAAGGCUCCGCUGCCGUCCCGCGGGCACGAUGUCGGUGGCGCUCGGAGUGCAAAGCGCGGAGCUGCGGCGCCGCUGCCGCCCGACCUUUGGGUGCCCCUGGUGCCCGCUCGGUGCUCGGGAGCGGCGAGGCGGAGCGCUGGGCGUGAGCCCGCCGGUGGCAGCGGCAGAUGAGGGAUGCGGCGGCGGUGAGAUGACAGAAAGUCUCAGCGAGUGCGGAAGAGCCGCCCGGGAUGGCGGGGAAGAAGCUGCAGCCCACCCGCCGCGGCUCCCUGCCCGGGCCAGGAGCUGAGCGUCUCUCCGUGUCGCCAGAGCUCCCCUGAGCCUCUCCACCGACCCUGCUCGCCCUGUGCCGCUGCCCCAGCUCAGCAUCGCCCUGAAACUUGCCCUGUGUCCACUGGCCGCCCCCAGCGGCAGGGUGGCCGUCGAGGUGCCCCUGCAGAAGGAGGGCUUUGUGCAAGGUAUCUGCAGUAAUAACAGUCGCUGCUGCUUCUUUCCCUCUGCCAGAGCCCGCAACUGAGCGUCUAAGUGUCCAUUCUUCCCCAAAGCAUCCCCAGGCGAUGCCAGUGACUGCACCCGCCUGGGGCUUGCGUCGGUCGUUAGUGUUAUAGAUACAUAUUAUAAUAUUGCCUUUUCGAAAAUAUUUAAAUGGAUUCUUUACGUGUGAUGUUAAAAUAACUUUGUUAUAAAGAUACAGUUUUAAUUUUUCUUGUUCAUUAAGCUUAGUGAAAUAGCUAAUAUAAGUAUGCUUGUACUAAAAUGCCUGCUUGGAUGGGAUAAUAUCCAGUGAACAUAGGAUGAGGACACCUGCUACAGAUACACCUACCAACUGCUAAAAACGGGAGCACACUCUCGGUACUAAAAUGAUUUCAGCAUUUAUUAUAAAGGCCUAAAGCAAGGGGGCCCGGGGGCUGGGCAGGAGCGUUCCCGUCGAGGAUGCUGCAGCGCCGGCUCUGCUGAGCAGCGAUGUCCCCGAUGUUCCAGGUGGAGCGGCACAGGUUCCGUGGGUUAGAAACCCCCUUUUUAUCCUGUUUUUUGUUCCUUUGGAUUGGUUUAUUUUUGGAUCCUUCAUUUGCAUGAAGGUUUAAGGCUCUUGAUUGGCCCAUUGCUGUUCUGUCCAGGCUGGCUCGUUUUGUUUGUGGUUGUGCGCUUUAUUUAUGUGUAAUACGGCACGUUCAGUACCGUAUUUAUUAAAACUUUUAAAAGGGGUUAAACUUUUAACCCCUUUUACAAUAUAAUAACUAAACUAACAAUGCACGUUUAUCAAUUACUAACUAUUUUACAACACUUUUUAACCUACUUUUGACAAAGCCAACACUAGCACAGUGCAGAAAUGGGUUUUCUCUGUGGCUGGCAUGGACUUGUAUCUGAUAAAACCCUCUCUUGGACUUGUAUCUGAUAAAAACCUCUCUCUUUGCUCCUGAGCUGAGCACUUGUUCUGCUUGCAGCCUGUUCUACAGCGAGAGCUCAUUGCAAUGGUAAUAGCGGGAGUGGGUGGUGUGAACACACUUGUGAAUACUAGUCUGGGAAGGCGGAUUGUUAUUUAGGGUUGCUCAGUGGCAAAAACAGAAGAGAAAACCUUCAUGUUGGUAUUUACCAUCAUCACUACCCACCUAACGAUUCUUGGGGGUGUUGCCACAAACAGACGCGUUCCGCUGUUGCCAGGAGCCCCUCACACCUGGAGCGCAGCUGGGACGCGCUUCUCGCACUCCCGGAGGUUCCCGUUGUUCCCGGAGGCUCCCGUUGUUCCCGGAGGUUCCCUCAGGCUCCGCCGGCUCCAUGGCGUGGCUGGGGCGCUCCGAGGCGGCAGAACAGACCCUCCUGGUGGGGAACUUGGAGAGCCGGGUCAGGGAGGAGAUCCUCUACGAGCUCUUCCUGCAGGCUGGACCGUUAACCAAAGUGAUGAUUUGUGAGGACAAAGAAGGAAAACCUGAGUCUUUUGGAUAUGUCUGCUUCAAACACAAAGUAUCGGUGCCUUAUGCAAAAGCUCUGCUGGACGGAAUCCAUUUGUAUGGGAGGCCAAUUACUGUGCAGUAUUGGAAAGGGAGUUUUCACUCACCAGAAUUAGACAGUUGUGCAAAUGAUUUUGAACACCAUAUUGACUUAGAGUCUCCUGCAGACAGGAAUCAAGAGCUUUCUGGAAAUUCUCUAUUUCCUGUUACUCCUUUGCCAGUGAACAACAGUUUACUUCAUGAUGACCCUGGCUUUCAAGAGGUGCAGUAGGUGACCAGAACCCACACUUCACUUCCUCUCUACAAGACUCUGGUGCAUCAGACCAAUAUCACCCUAAUCUCUUCUGUCUGAGAUAUUCCGCAAAGCAAGGAAACUGGUCUCUUCAGGUGAAAAUCUGUUCAUCAAACCCACUCCCCAAACACAUCCUGAAGCUUCUGAUGAGUCUGUGGACUGGUAGGACUGAAGAAACCCAGCCUUUAAUGUGAGGUACCAACUGUGGACAGCGCUCACCGAGUCUGGCUGGGGACUGGCCAGCCCUUGGAACUGCAGAAGGGGGUUUGGAUCAAAUUGUUGGCUGCAAUUUGAGCAGGAAAAUGGAGAGCAUCUAUUCCCCCUCUAUGGGUGGGGGCCUGCCUUCCCAUCUUCCCAGGCUGUGCCCUGAGAAGAGCUGGACCUGGCAUGAAUUUUCCCAUCUCCUCUGCUCCAUUUGAAGGCUCAGCUGCACCAUCUCACCCUCAGUGCUGUUGAACCUGCUCCUCAGUACCAGGGCAGCACACCAGCACACACAGCAACCAACUCCAUCCCAUUUCCUGCUUGCCACAGAGGAUGGCAUUGCAGGGGGUCUCACACCAUAGUUUGUUGAAGCUGCAGCAGAAAGUGAUCCCAUCACGAGUACGCCUUAACAAAUCUGCCCCACCUUACCUUGGCAGGUUGCCAGGCAGGUUGCUCACUUGGGAAUCUUUCAAUGUCCUUUCCUUGUUGGAAUUUUUUGUUCCACAUCAACUUUCAAAUUCAUUAAACCAGGUUUGAAGAACUUGCAGAUGUGCAUGCCUUUACAGUACCAACAGGCACUGCAGUUACAAAUAUUUAUCAAACAGAGAUGAAGAAAUUAAAGGAAAACGAUGCUUGUUUUCCUUAUGUGAGGACUAGCUGCCAAUUUAGCCUUAAAUCAGGUUGUCUCUGUUCUAACUUUGCCAUGAAAAACUUGUCUACUUUUCUGAACUAUACUAGUUGUCAUAAAAUAGCUUUAUUCUCAAACAUUCUGUGUUGUUUUAUAGUUGGUCUUUUAAUUGUAUUAGUCAUAAUGCCUGCAAAAUGAAGUUCUUUAAAAUUUCCUCUUCACAAUGUAAACAGCUCAAAUUUCUAUUUCUCUAAAUGUACCAUGUUCUGCCAUAGCAGUAUAUAGUACAGAGCCCAAUGGGUUAACAAUUUCUUUAUUAGCAGUACCUUCAGACUUAUCCUUUUCUCCCUGUCAGAAUCAAACUGCACAAUUCAAGACUGCACAGUCACCCUGAAUUGGCCACAUCCAACAGACUGUGAACUGCACCAAGCAGGAUGAAAGAGAGAGAAAAUGGCAAAGCUGUGACAAUUAUGAGUACUGCAGAUAAUAAAAGGAGACAAAGACAGUGUGGCCAAAACUAAUCCUCAAUAAAAGGCAUUGGUUUGAGGUAUACUCACAGAAUAGUUCGUUGGUGGUUGGAAAGGAGCUUUGGGGAUCAUCCACUCCAGUCCCCCUCCAAUGCAGGGUCAACUGGAUGUGACACAGGAACGUGUCCAGGCUUCAGCUACACGUGGAACAAUCCAAUAAUCUAUGAGUAAGAGGAGGAUCUAAAUGAGUGAAUUCUUUGGGAAGUUGCAUUCUAAAAUCAGGUUUGUAGAAUUUUAAAGAUCUGCAUUUCUGCAAAGCCACUUUUAUGUAAUUAUUUUUAAAAGAAUGCUUAAUUUGAAUGUCUGUAUUAAAGGUUUGUCACAAAUAGCAAUAACCCUAACUCUAACCCUGAUUCACCCUCUCCAGAAUACUCUUAGCUAAAAGUCCAUGACUGAAGCACUCAGGCUGAAUCUUAAAUGAAAUAAAAUUUUACCAGGAAGAAAAAGUUAAUUGAAAUAUGAUGACAUAGCUGGGGAGAUAAUUAACAAGAGAAUUAUAAAUUAUUACAAUAGUUCUAUUUUUGCUAGUAGUGUAAAUAUAAAGUAUUAAUUUGCAAUGUAUGGCAAUUAGUAUGAAAUAAAGAUGAAUCAUUUCCCUAUUAAAAAGUUGUCAUUAAAGGAACUGAGUAUUUGCAAGUAGUAACAAAGUCCAACUACAUAUUCUCUCUUUUCAACAGUGUUUUAGAUGUACAGGUUAGAAUCUUUUUCUUUUGCUAAGAUGUAUCAUCAUGUACUGAUAGAAAAAUUAGAUGAUCAUGCUCUUCAAGAAAGAAUAUAUAGAUUUUAGUUAUGUACAGUCUAAUUUUUAAAUUUAUGCACUACCAGCAUAUUUAAAUAUGUUGUGAUGAUACCAUUUUAUAUAGCAGCCUCCUUCAGCAUUUAAUUGUAUACUUAAUAAUUGCAUACUUACCUCAUUUCUUAAAAAUCACUUUUAGUAUUUCCCAAAAUAUCUGGAAAAUAGGCAAAUAGAGUUGGCACAUAGAGAAAUGCAACUAUAAUAUAUAGGAAGUAGGCUUUAUUGCAGCUAUUUUCAUAAGACAGAAUUUAAGAGAAGAACCAAGCCUGCUCAGAAACACAUCAGCCUUACCAGUGCUAUAGUUAUAGUGAAUCCUCUGACCACCAGGUGGUUUUGGAAGUGACAGCGGGGUCUCCUCUGCAAGGAAAUUGUUUAAUCUGCAUUCUACAAACAGCUGCUGUAUUGUUUCAUCUGCUGUAAUUCGUGACUCAGUAAGACCAAGUGAUGUAAUUUUAAUCUGAAUUUUUUCAGCUUCC